CCCAACCAAAACUCAAACACCUGAUGCUGAGCUGGUUGAAGCCGACCUCUCAUUGUCCCAAAAAAGAAAACAUCAUUCUGACAACCAGCCAGGUUCAACAUCUGCCCCUUCGUCCACUCCCGAGCCUACACCUGCCCGAUCUCCUUCCCCAGAGGCGGUACAUGCGGGUCCUUCACCGGUUCGCAGUCAGCCUGUGCCUUCUCCUCCGAGACAUACGACUAACGAAUUCCAGCAGGAUGCCAUGGGUUCGCCAACUAUGUGGCCCCGAUUCAACGCCAACUUUCCUUUUCAACUGUUCGAGGCCUUCGUUCGCGAGACCGAUGACCACCGAUUCGG
rnacentral:lncRNA from 1 species